rnacentral:rRNA from 1 species
AUUGAACGCUGGCGGCAGGCCUAACACAUGCAAGUCGAACGAGUGGCGGACGGGUGAGUAAUGUCUGGGAAACUGCCUGAUGGGGGGGGAUAACUACUGGAAACGGUAGCUAAUACCGCAUACCAUCGGAUGUGCCCAUAUGGGAUUAGCUAGUAGGUGGGGUAACGGCUCACCUAGGCGACGAUCCCAGGCUGGUAUGAGAGGAUGACCAGCCACCCUGGAACUGAGACACGGUCCAUACUCCUCCGUGAGGCAUCAGUGGGGAAUAUUGCACAAUGGGCGCAGUCCUGAUGUAGCCAUGCCGCUUGUAUGAAGAAGGCCGUCGGGUUGUAAAGUACUUUCAGCGGGGAGGCGUUACCCGCAGAAGAAGCACCGGCUAACUCCGUGCCAGCAGCCGCGGUAAUUC